rnacentral:misc_RNA from 1 species
GAAAUGCGAUAAGUAAUGUGAAUUGCAGAAUUCAGUGAAUCAUCGAAUCUUUGAACGCACAUUGCGCCCGCCAGUAUUCUGGCGGGCAUGCCUGUUCGAGCGUCAUUUCAACCAUCAAGCCCCGGGCUUGUGUUGGGGACCUGCGGCUGCCGCAGGCCCUGAAAAGCAGUGGCGGGCUCGCUGUCACACCGAGCGUAGUAGAUCUCAUCUCGCUCAGGGCGUGCUGCGGGUUCCGGCCGUAAAACAGCCUCAUAAGCACCCAAGGUUGACCUCGGAUCAGGUAGGAAGACCCGCUGAACUUAAGC